rnacentral:rRNA from 1 species
CCUACGGGGGGUUGCAGUGGGGAAUAUUGGACAAUGGGCGAAAGCCUGAUCCAGCCAUGCCGCGUGUGUGAAGAAGGCCUUCGGGUUGUAAAGCACUUUCAGUGGGGAAGAAAGCCUUGGGGCUAAUACCCUCGAGGAAGGACAUCACCCACAGAAGAAGCACCGGCUAACUCCGUGCCAGCAGCCGCGGUAAUACGGAGGGUGCGAGCGUUAAUCGGAAUUACUGGGCGUAAAGCGCGCGUAGGCGGUCUGAUAAGCCGGUUGUGAAAGCCCCGGGCUCAACCUGGGAACGGCAUCCGGAACUGUCAGGCUAGAGUGCAGGAGAGGAAGGUAGAAUUCCCGGUGUAGCGGUGAAAUGCGUAGAGAUCGGGAGGAAUACCAGUGGCGAAGGCGGCCUUCUGGACUGACACUGACGCUGAGGUGCGAAAGCGUGGGUAGCAAACAGGAUUAGAUACCCGUGUAGUC